rnacentral:rRNA from 1 species
GUUAUAUGGUCAAGCGAAUAAGCGCAUACGGUGGAUGCCUAGGCGGUAGGAGGCGAUGAAGGACGUGGCAGCCUGCGAUAAGCCUCGGGGAGCCGGCAACAGGCUUUGAUCCGAGGAUUUCCGAAUGGGGAAACCCGGCCACCUUCGGGUGGUCAUCCGCACCUGAAUCCAUAGGGUGCGGAGGCGAACCCGGGGAACUGAAACAUCUAAGUACCCGGAGGAAGAGAAAUCAACCGAGAUUCCCUUAGUAGCGGCGAGCGAACGGGGAACAGCCCAGUCCACUGUAUCACAGCGCUCCUUAGAAGAACGGUCUGGAAAGUCCGGCCAUAGAGGGUGAUAGCCCCGUAUUCGAAAAGGAGCGCUGUGUUGGUGGCGAGGAGUAAGGCGGGACACGUGUUAUCCUGUCUGAAGAUGGGGGGCCCACCCUCCAAGGCUAAAUACUCCCUACCGACCGAUAGCGAACGAGUACCGUGAGGGAAAGGUGAAAAGAACCCCGGAGAGGGGAGUGAAAUAGAGCCUAAAACCGUAUGCGUACAAGCAGUCGGAGCCUGUCUUCGGACGGGUGACGGCGUACCUUUUGUAUAAUGGGUCAGCGACUUACUUUCAGUGGCAAGCUUAACCGUUUAGGGAAGGCGUAGGGAAACCGAGUCCGAACAGGGCGACCAGUCGCUGGGAGUAGACCCGAAACCGGGCGAUCUAUCCAUGGCCAGGGUGAAGGUGGGGUA